CCGGUGGCGGCCGCGGCCGCCAGGGGGCGCGCAGCUCCCGCCGCCCACCCAGAGCUGCCCCGCGCGCCGCGGCUCUGAGGGGCUCCGGGGGCUCCGCGCUCCCGCCGCAGCAGCGGGCACUUCCAGUGCAAUGUCCAGCAAGUAAUUCUCGAUAAGGGUUAAUUCUCACCCCACCACCCCCCCCCUCCAAUUUUUUUCUUUAGUUUUCUAAGGUAUUUUAACCCUUUCCCUACGCCCUCGGCGCGUAGCGGGGAGCAGUGCCCCGUGUGCCAUGCCCUGUUCCUCGGUGGCCCCGAGCUCCCCCCGCCGCUGCCGGCGGGAUCUGCACGGUCGCUGCCGCUCGGGCCGGCGCACAGGGGACGGGUGGCGGCGAGAGGGAGCGGAACGGGCGGGCCCCCGGUGCCGCCGCAGCGCUGGACGGGGGCCGUGGGAGCCGGGCGGUAAUUGCCUGCUUGACGUCCGCGAGAUGCGAAGCGUGGCUGAAAAGCAAGCCUGGAGUGCCCUUCAGGAGGUCAACCUGAAACCAGGAGCAAACGAAUGCAAGGCUGGUUUGCCACUUGGAGAGGCCAGACAAGAGAAAAGUGAGUUUGAGUUAAGAGGCUCUUAGCACCCAGAGCAGCCUUGAAUGAUGAAGACAAUUACAAAAGCAGGGUUCAUUCAUGCAGGUGUAAUUGCUGUGUGCUUAAAUUAGUUUUGAAGGUGGAACUUCAGCUUCUAGGUCUUGUCAGAAAUUUUCUAAAGAACCUACCUCUCUGAGCUACUGCCAGUUUCCUAUUGUGUGCAUGUACAAAAAUCUCAUUUUCAAUCUUGAUAAGCUCUUGGCUUUAAUAAUGUCUCAAGACUGCAGGUUUCCUAGCUUAUUUAUCAUGCACUGAAUAAAAAAAUUCCUUUUGUUGUUGGUAAAUUCACUCCCUUUUAGUUUCCUUGAAUAGCAGCUUGCUUUGUAUUGUCUGAGGAGAUAAAGGGGAAUACCCCACUUAACCUCUCAACAUCAUUCUCUGCUUCCUUUUCAAGUAAUUUUCGUAUGCCUGUAAUACUACAUAACUUGUAUAAAUGCU
rnacentral:lncRNA from 1 species